UUGCACGCUGGCGGCAGGCCUAACACAUGCAAGUCGAACGGUAACAGAAAGCAGCUUGCUGCUUUGCUGACGAGUGGCGGACGGGUGAGUAAUGUCUGGGAAACUGCCUGAUGGAGGGGGAUAACUACUGGAAACGGUAGCUAAUACCGCAUAACGUCGCAAGACCAAAGAGGGGGACCUUCGGGCCUCUUGCCAUCGGAUGUGCCCAGAUGGGAUUAGCUAGUAGGUGGGGUAACGGCUCACCUAGGCGACGAUCCCUAGCUGGUCUGAGAGGAUGACCAGCCACACUGGAACUGAGACACGGUCCAGACUCCUACGGGAGGCAGCAGUGGGGAAUAUUGCACAAUGGGCGCAAGCCUGAUGCAGCCAUGCCGCGUGUAUGAAGAAGGCCUUCGGGUUGUAAAGUACUUUCAGCGGGGAGGAAGGGAGUAAAGUUAAUACCUUUGCUCAUUGACGUUACCCGCAGAAGAAGCACCGGCUAACUCCGUG
rnacentral:rRNA from 1 species